AAGAACUUAAGUUAAAAAAACUAUUAACCUUCAAAGCUAAAAAUAGAUUCCAAUUCUAGUUCUUA
rnacentral:tRNA from 1 species